rnacentral:rRNA from 1 species
GGGUGGUAAUGCCGGAUGCUCCAUCACACUGCAUGGUGUGUUGGGAAAGCCUUUGCGGCAUGGGAUGGGGUCGCGUCCUAUCAGCUUGAUGGCGGGGUAACGGCCCACCAUGGCUUCGACGGGUAGCCGGCCUGAGAGGGCGACCGGCCACAUUGGGACUGAGAUACGGCCCAGACUCCUACGGGAGGCAGCAGUGGGGAAUAUUGCACAAUGGGCGCAAGCCUGAUGCAGCGACGCCGCGUGAGGGAUGGAGGCCUUCGGGUUGUAAACCUCUUUUGUUAGGGAGCAAGGCAUUUUGUGUUGAGUGUACCUUUCGAAUAAGCACCGGCUAACUACGUGCCAGCAGCCGCGGUAAUACGUAGGGUGCAAGCGUUAUCCGGAAUUAUUGGGCGUAAAGGGCUCGUAGGCGGUUCGUCGCGUCCGGUGUGAAAGUCCAUCGCUUAACGGUGGAUCCGCGCCGGGUACGGGCGGGCUUGAGUGCGGUAGGGGAGACUGGAAUUCCCGGUGUAACGGUGGAAUGUGUAGAUAUCGGGAAAGAACACCA